rnacentral:rRNA from 1 species
GACGAACGCUGGCGGCGUGCUUAACACAUGCAAGUCGAACGGUGAAGCGCCCUCGUUGUUGGUGGGUGUGGAGGAGGGGCGAACGGGUGAGUAACACGUGAGUAACCUGCCCCCUUCUACUGGAUAACCGCAGGAAAGUGUGGCUAAUACGGGAUAUGCUGGGUCGGGCGCAUGAUGGGUCUGGGACAGAUAGUGUUGCGGUGGGGGAUGGGCUCGCGGCCGAUCAGCUUGUUGGUGGGGUGAUGGCCUACCAAGGCGGUGACGGGUAGCCGGCCUGGGCGGGUGGCCGGUCUCAGUGGGUGUGCGGCCCCGUUCGGACUCCUACGCGAGGCAGCCGUCUGCAGUAUUGCACAGUGGGCGCUAGUCUGCUGCAGCGUCGCCGCGUGAGGGAUGGCGGCCUUCGGGUUGUGACCCUCUUUCGCCAGUGAAGCAGGCCUGCCUCGUUUGUGGGUGGGUUGACGGUAGCUGGAUAAGAAGCGCCGGCUAACUACGUG